UCCGGUUGAUCCCGCCGACCCCGACUGCUAUCAGAGUGGGACUAAGCCAUGCGAGUCAACAUAGCAAUAUGUGGCAUACGGCUCAGUAACACGUAGUCAACAUGCCCAGGGGACGUGGAUAACCUCGGGAAACUGAGGAUAAACCGCGAUAGGUCAUCACUUCUGGAAUGGGUAAUGACUUAAAUCUAUAUGGCCCCUGGAUUGGACUGCGGCCGAUCAGGCUGUUGGUGAGGUAAUGGCCCACCAAACCUGUAACCGGUACGGGCUCUGAGAGGAGGAGCCCGGAGAUGGGCACUGAGACAAGGGCCCAGGCCCUAUGGGGCGCAGCAGGCGCGAAACCUCUGCAAUAGGCGAAAGCUUGACAGGGUUACUCUGAGUGAUUUCCGUUAAGGAGAUCUUUUGGCACCUCUAAAAAUGGUGCAGAAUAAGGGGUGGGCAAGUCUGGUGUCAGCCGCCGCGGUAAUACCAGCACCCCGAGUGGUCGGGACGUUUAUUGGGCCUAAAGCAUCCGUAGCCGGUUCUACAAGUCUUCCGUUAAAUCCACCUGCUUAACAGAUGGGCUGCGGAAGGUACUAUAGAGCUAGGAGGCGGGAGAGGCAAGCGGUACUCGAUGGGUAGGGGUAAAAUCCGUUGAUCCAUUGAAGACCACCAGUGGCGAAGGCGGCUUGCCAGAACGCGCUCGACGGUGAGGGAUGAAAGCUGGGGGAGCAAACCGGAUUAGAUACCCGGGUAGUCCCAGCUGUAAACGAUGCAGACUCGGUGAUGAGUUGGCUUAUUGCUAACUCAGUGCCGCAGGGAAGCCGUUAAGUUUGCCGCCUGGGGAGUACGGUCGCAAGACUGAAACUUAAAGGAAUUGGCGGGGGAGCA
rnacentral:rRNA from 1 species